CUCCAUGGCUAAGUACAAAAGAAAAAUGCUGCGUAGGAAAUGGUCGACACUCUAGUAAUCACGGUAAAAUUCCACGAACAAGUGGUAAUUCUUUCUGUCUUAUUCUUCGUGGCGCGACGGUGCGACCGUACACGAACGGCACCAUGUUAGCUACUGUUAUUGUGUGUCGGCGCGUUUAUCUGCAAGGCGUCAGUGUCGUCUGCGCUGCUAAACAAGUCGUCCUGCGAAUAACAACCUAUAGUGAGUUAACGGCAGAACAAACUCUUGUUAAACUCUUGUGAUUACUUUCUCUGAUUAUUUUGUCUCACACGGUAAAAACGAGCCCUGGGAUUCCCAGGAGUUUUCUUCAUUUCCCAGGGGAGUUGGAAGUGUCACCCUCAGGUCUGUGUGUCUUUUUUAAAAAGUUUUGGUUCGUGAAUUAGUUGUUAUCGUUGACCGUCCUAGCUGACAAGGUUAGUGUUCGGAGCAGUUACCAGCGCCAUCUAUCGGUCAGAUGAAAACAUGCACCUAGCCGAAGCUGGCAUGAGCCGCGCCGCAUGAGCUGAGAUGCCGAGGCGUCGAGCCAUUCAAUGUCAACAAUCUAUGUUAUGGUGUAGAAUGUUCAGAUUCAGUUAUUUCGGUAGAGCUUAGCAUUUUAGACAUCCCGUGUACUCUGCUGGCGGAUUUAGAUGUCAGUAUGAUAGUGCAGUACUGUUCGUCCAGACCGUGAUGCAUUUGUUGUGAUGUUUACCCUUAUACAAGUCUGUCGCUCACAGUAGAAGCUGCUCGAUGUUAACCCCUCCUGAGCUGAAAUGUCCUUGGCCAGUUCGUACAACUAUUAAUCUCAACAUUUGCAACAAGGCCUCUACUAAACGAAUAAAUGACACCUGUAUUCAGAGAUUGGAACUUUUGAGACUGGAAGCGUUUCAUGAGCUGGGCGUUCAUACCCAUUCCUCGGUCAUCUGUCAAAUAUGGAAGUGAUUUUUUUUUAACCCCGCCCAUAUGGGCAUGUGAUUUUUCUUUUUCUUUUUAAAGACUGACUGAUUAGUUCUAUGUUAAUGAAUUUGUACAAUUGUAACUUGUGUCUCUCUUAUCAAGACCUUUCAAUCCAUUUUUUAAUGCUGGUGCACUUUGCCGUUGGCAUGCUCAAGCUGAGAUGGUGAUGUCGAACAUUAUCGAAGUUGAAGAAACGUGGCCAAGUCUGGUAUAAGAUCUGGGGUAAAUUAAAUUCUUGAAUUUAUUAAUAUCGGCUUAAAAGCAGGGCACACACUUGGAGAAUGUAGGGAAAUACUGCUUGCUGUGGAUUUCAACUUGAAAAGUUGGGUUUUUGAGUGAUUUAUACAAAUUUUAUUACUUUGACUAUUUAGACUAAAACUUAUGGUAAGUUAUUAUUCUAAACUAUUAUUUGCUUUGGAUUUCAAUUCAUCUUAGUUAUUUUAAGGUGUCACUCCAUAUUGAGAUUGGCCAACACCUCUCUGGAUGUAAUUCUGAAACUUUUCCGAAGUUGAAUAGCGGCCAAGCACCAUAAUUAAUUUCACUUGAGUUUCAACGGUUGAAUUUAAUUUUAUCAUGCCAAAAGCAGGGGACAGACAUAGAGAAUGUAGGGAAAUACUACUUGAUGUGGAUUUUAGCCUUAAAAGUUGGGAUUUUAAGUGAUUUACCUCAGGGAGGGUGGCCUUGGGCUUGAUGCCCAUGAAGAUCAUUCAUUACUGUUUUCUUUCUCAUUUCUUUGUUUUAGCAUUUGAAUUCAGUAUUAUGGGUUAAAAAGGAGGGAAUGGACUUGGACAAAUAGCACUUGUUGUUGAAUUCAGCCUAAAAUGUUGAGUUUUUAAGUGAAUUACAUACUGUAGAUGGUGGUGGUGCUGCUCUUCUUGUUGAAGAUCUCUGAUCACUCUUUUCUUUCUCAUUUCUUUGUUUUAGCAUUUGAAUUCAAUAUUAUGGUCUUAACAGCAGCCGCUACACUUGGACAUUGUAUAGAAAUAGCAUUUGAUGGGGAUUUUAACCUCAUUACCUGACUUCUAUGGUCAUAAGUGUGCCUGUCGAUUUAUGUUUCCAUUCAGGACCACCCUUGGUAUCCGCCUUGGUAUUUCAUUUGCUUUAGCUCUUGGAUUUAUUAUAAUGUAAUAUUGAGUAACAUUUGAUGUGGAUUUUAGCCUGAAAAGUUGACUUUUAUAGUGAUUUACCUGAAUUCUGAUAUUGGUUAAAAUGAUUAAUUCUUAUGUUAUGAUAAUAUUCUAAACCACUAUUUGCUUGGAUUUCAAUUCAUCUCAGUUAUUUUAAGGUGUCACUACAUGUUGAGAUAGGCUUACACCUCUGGAGAUGUGAUUGUCAAACUUUUCCGAGGCUGGAUAGCGCUAAAUUCUGAUAAGGGCUCUAGGGUAAAUUAUUUGCUUGAGCCUAAUUUUAUUAUGCCAAAAGCAGUACAACUAGAAGGAGAUGAUAAAGAAAAACUAUUUGUAUAGGAUUUCAACUUGCUUGUUCUUGUUUUUAGGUAUACAAGAACUACUUUUUAAAAUGGUAAUCAAUUUGUUCAGAGGUGAAAAGUUUUUUUGAUGCUUUUGUGCCUCGUGAGCGUGUUGGUUCUGGGUCAUUGUUCCUGUGUUAGUUUGUGAUAACUUGCAACCUCUUCUUGAUAACACUGUAACAGUGCUUCCAAAAGAGCAGGAGGCUUGAGCAGUUUUCACUCCCACCUGCCCUUUUGGAGGCACUGGUUUGUGGUCUUGUUUCCUGAAGUUGAUCUGUUUGAUUUUUGUGGUUUGUUAUAUCUUUCUUCUCUCUGAUGGGUUAAGAAUUGUGUAUAAUGUGUCAAUUGCUAUAGAUUUUUAAAUUUUCCAUCCCCAUGCAUAAUUGUAUGAGUUUAAUAAGAGUAAUAUUAAUCUGAUUAAGUGAAUUGAGACAAGGUCUGUACAAGUUAGAUGAGAGCUAUCAUUUCAAUGUUCCAAUACCUUAGUAGCAAACAGUCUAUUUUCUUUUUAAUGAACAGGUUGAAAUGGAAAUUUUUUAUGAUAAGAGCGUGGGUCAUGUUCCAUAAGAGUGGAAAGGAGAAACAAGUUACAAGAUUUCUUUUAUAAGAAAAUUCCAAAGGUUUUAAUAAAAAUCUUGAAAUAAAAUACUGAUUUCAUCAUUUCCCAAAAUGACUAGUAAUACACUACUCUCAUAUCACAGUUUCAGUAAUCAAAUAUUGAUAAGCAGAAUAUAAAAUAAAAAGUAAUUCGUCAAAAUAAAACAUUAUUUCAUUAACUAUCUAAUAGCAGUGAUAAAUGUUCUAGUUGGUACUACUGCAGAACGAUACAUCGAGUUUAAAUGUUACGUGUUGGUAACACUGCAGAGUUCCGCCCUUGACCCUGGUCUGUUAGGCCCCGGGUGAAUACCGGUUCCGCUAAUUAAUGACCCCUGGCCUUUGACUGUAUCCUGUGUUGUGUACUCACUUAAUAAACUAUAGUGAAAUAGUGCCAGAGUCUUUA